UACGUAGGGUGCGAGCGUUGUCCGGAAUUAUUGGGCGUAAAGAGCCCGUAGGCGGUUUGUCGCGUCUGCCGUGAAAGUCCGGGGCUCAACUCCGGAUCUGCGGUGGGUACGGGCAGACUAGAGUGAUGUAGGGGAGACUGGAAUUCCUGGUGUAGCGGUGAAAUGCGCAGAUAUCAGGAGGAACACCGGUGGCGAAGGCGGGUCUCUGGGCCGAUAUUGACGCUGAGGAGCGAAAGCGUGGGGAGCGAACAGG
rnacentral:rRNA from 1 species